GUAUAAUGUUACUCAAUUAUUAUUUAAAGGGGCUGUUUGGUUUCUACAUAUAACUCUGUAUGUUGAAGUUGUAAAGGAUGAAGAUAAGCUAAACUUCAUUAAUCCUAGCUUAAUUACAAAUGCAAAACAUCAAAUUCUUCCUUUUUCUAAAAACCUUGUGUUAGUUUAGCUUUUUAUUUGAUUCGUUAUUUUAAUAUAAGGAAUAUUUAGAAUAUCAGUUUAUAAUUACUCUCUAUUUCUUGAUAUUUUUCUUUGAGAUGCUCUUAAGUAAAUUAUUAAUUCUUAAGCUAAGUUACAAUUAUUAUAUAUUGAUUUUCCUUUGUGCUUCAUUAUUGUAAGCAGGCUUUGCGUACUGUUUUAAUAUGGACGUGGGUUCGAUUCCCACCAGUUCCAAUA